rnacentral:pre_miRNA from 1 species
CCUCCCAUCAGAGUAGUUGUGAUGUGGUGAUUUAUACUCGUAUCACAGCUAGCUUAGAUGAGCGGAA